GGAAAGAACAACAGGGAUUGCCCCAGUAACGGCGAGUGAAGCGGCAAGAGCUCAAAUUUGAAAGCUGGCUCCUUCGGGGUCCGCAUUGUAAUUUGCAGAGGAUGCUUCGGGAGCGGUCCCCAUCUAAGUGCCCUGGAACGGGACGUCAUAGAGGGUGAGAAUCCCGUAUGGGAUGGGGUGUCCGCGCCCGUGUGAAGCUCCUUCGACGAGUCGAGUUGUUUGGGAAUGCAGCUCUAAAUGGGUGGUAAAUUUCAUCUAAAGCUAAAUAUUGGCCGGAGACCGAUAGCGCACAAGUAGAGUGAUCGAAAGAUGAAAAGCACUUUGAAAAGAGAGUUAAAAAGCACGUGAAAUUGUUGAAAGGGAAGCGCUUGCGACCAGACUCGCUCGCGGGGUUCAGCCGGCAUUCGUGCCGGUGUACUUCCCCGCGGGCGGGCCAGCGUCGGUUUGGGUGGUCGGUCAAAGGCCCUCGGAAGGUAACGCCCCCUCGGGGGCGUCUUAUAGCCGAGGGUGCAAUGCGACCUGCCUGGACCGAGGAACGCGCUUCGGCUCGGACGCUGGCAUAAUGGUCGUAAGCGACCCGUCUUGAAACACGGACCAAGGAGUCUAACACCUACGCGAGUGUUCGGGUGUCAAACCCGUGCGCGCAGUGAAAGCGAACGGAGGUGGGAACCCUUUUGGGUGCACCAUCGACCGAUCCUGAUGUCUUCGGAUGGAUUUGAGUAAGAGCGUAGCUGUUGGGGCCCGAAAGAUGGUGAACUAUGCCUGAAUAGGGCGAA
rnacentral:rRNA from 1 species